UAGUAUUGCAACUCAAAAUGAAUUCAAAUCCUCUCAAGGUUUUUGUCUUUCUUCCCUUCUGCCAUCUUCAUUUUAUUUUUCACCUUUCUCUCUUGAAUUUCUCAUUUCUUCUAUUUUCUUCCCUUCUGCCAUCUUCAUUUUGUCUUCCUCCCCUUUAAUUUCUUCCUAAUUAGUAAUUAAUUAUUUGUUUUCCUCCUUGCUUAAACAAUCUUUCCCGUUGACUUGCCCAUUUCACCCCACUAUCCGUUCCGUUUCCGUUGGUAUAGGCCACUUCUUAUCAGCAAAGAAAGAAAGACAAACCCAAGGACGUAAACCGGCUGCCAUCUUUCCCGGUUGACUUGCCCAUUUCACCCCCACUAUCCGUUCCGUUGGUAUACGCCAACAAUUGUACAGAAGCCAUGUUUCCGACUUCUUAUCAGCAAAGAAAGAAAGACAAACCCAAGGACGUAAAGACUGCGUUGAGGAUAUGAAAUCUUGGCUUUUAUAUCUUCUGUUGAAGGAUCGGAAAUCUUGGCCUUUAUAUCCUCUGCUAUUCAAAUUGCCUAGGUCAGCACUUGAAGUUGCAAAGAAAAUGCUAACAAAACCUAGUCGCAACCCUGUGGCUGCAACAGUUGAAAAAGAAGCUGGAUGGCUACUUCUAUCCUCUCUAUUAUCUUCUAUGCCAAAGGAGGAGCUUCAAGACCAGGUUUUUGAUAUUCUCUCAUUAUGGGCUCCCCUCUUUGGUGGAAAUCCAGAACAAGAAAUUAAGCAAAUUGGGGAUUUGACACCAAGCAUUUGCUAAUCGAUCAAGGAUAGAGACUUCAAUUCCUCGAAAGCAUGGCCCUGCCAUUGCUGUUUAUGAGUCGGCAUUGAAUAAGUUCUUUGAGCAUGUUUUACAGGCAAAUUAAAUACCUGAAGCACUUCUUCACCAGUUCUGAUAGAUUUUAUCCAAGCAUAUUGAUUUCAGUGUCAUUCGUUGUGCGGUGAUUGCAAGCCCUGGUUUCACUAAGCAAUAUAUACAAUAGUCGAGUGUUUUAUUCUUCAGGAUCAGUUUCAUCGUCACUUAUUGUUGGAGGCAGAGAUGAGACAGCUGAGACCCAUUAUUGAGAACAAGUCACGCAUAGUGCAAGCUCAGGAUAUAAGCAUUGCUUGAGGGAGGUUCUUGAUGCCCCAAAUGUUAUGAACAUGAUUAAAAGACUGCAACACUCCCAAUACGUUUCUUUACGAAAGCACGACAAAAACGUGGUCCUUUUCUAUAUUUGUUUUUUCUUUUCCCUUUAUUUCUAAUAUCGUAUUCAUUCACAUCGGUCUGCCUUCUUGGUUCUUGGCCGGCUUUUUGCAAGUGUAUCGAGGACAUUUCAUCUGGGAUUUCGAUGGCAAAGUUUGAUUUACCUUUAAGUUUCUCACUUUAAUGGUGAAAUUCGAUUACUUUGUGAAAUCUUGCCCAUAAAUUCUUCUGGGUUUGCUUCAAAUUGCAUUCUCCAUCAUUCAUAACCUGUAUUCCACCUCAUUUUAGAUAUUGUUUGUGUUUUUGUAAUUUUUGGCCUGAAGAUCGAUCUGGGUGUGCUUCAGAAUCAGUAAUAUCAUCAUCCAGAAUCUCAAUUGCUUCUGCAAGUAUGGUUUCUUUGACUGGUUCAAUGUUAUUUCCUGCUACUGCACCGCAUGGCUCUACUGGGUCUGCUAGAUUCUCUAUUUGGAGUACGGACACAACCCUCUUCGUUCUGCUAUAAUCAGAGAAAGGUUCUCUGCGCUUGUAUGGCACCUCUGCGAAACAUAGGCCGCGAUGAAUAUCGAGCAACCAAAUUCAAUGUGUGACCAGGAUUCUUAUAAAUCAAAGCAAUUAGGGACGGUAUUGGAACCAGAGGAUGAUUCUGAUGUUCUAAUUGAAGGUUGGUGGCUUGGGAGAUGUUGUGACCGGUCUUGGAAAAGCACUAAAAAAGAGAGGACACCUUGUGGAAAUUAUUCUGCCAAAAUAUGACUGCAUGCAAUAUGAUGGUCUUCCUGUUUACUUUAUUGAGCCUCAACACCCUGACAAGUUCUUUUGGAGAGGGCAGUUUUACGGAGAACAUGAUGAUUUCUAUCGUUUUUCGUUUUUCAGCCGUGCUGCACUUGAAUUGCUUCUUCAAGCUGGCAAAAAACCAGACAUAAUUCAUUGCCAUGACUAAUUUAAAAUUUGCUUCUGCCUUAAUUUUCUUACAGUGCAUGAUCAUACAUUUUACAACUACGGAAAACUAUAUGAAUGGGUCAUUUGAUUCUCUGUUUGGAGUUUUCUUGAAUAUUUGUUAUUUUCUUUGUGAAUGUGCAUCCAAUCCUAGAAGUCUUUCAUAUUUUAUUGAAUACGUGGGCUGCAUAACAAGAAUGGUGCCACAGAAAGGUGUACACCUUAUUAGACAUGCAAUAUACCGUACCCUAGAGUUGGGAGGACAAUUUCUACUACUUGGCUCAAGCCCAGUUGCACAUGUAUUUCUCUUUAUGCUACUGAAAAAUAUGCAAUGCUCUGUAUUUUGCAUAUAAUGUUGUCUAUAAGAUUUUGAGAACAAACACACACAAGCGCGCACGCGAAUAUAUGCAUUUGGAGAAUGCAUUCCCAUGGUUGCUUCCUCCUAAAGCAUCCAAUCACUAUUUCAAGGUGCUUUUAGAUGCUUAACUGGAAAACAGAAAAAGCAUCUCUCAAUUGACUGCCUUACUUGGAGAAUCUAAGACAGUAUUUUGCAAAAAGAAUAAAAAGUCUUGAUCACUAUGCGUAAUGGAAGUAACAUGCUUGCUAUGUGGACAAACAAAUACAUAUGCAGAUAGUUGAAUUUAUGAAAUCUACAUGUGAUUUCGUGAAUGCACACCUUUGGAAAUGAGCACUGGUUUUCAUUUACUAAACUAUUCUUUUCCUACUCCUCUGUCAGUUCCAAGCUUACUCCUCUGGACAGAUACUUUUAGUUUACUUGUUCAUUUCUUUUGUAGAGGGAAUUUGAGGUAUCGCAAAUCACUUUCAGAAUCAUGAGCACAUUCGGCUGAUAUUGAAGAUGAUUAACCUCUUUCUCAUUCCAUUUAUGCAGCAUCUGACAUGUUCUGUCAUCCCAUCUAUCUUUGAGCCUUGUGGCCUUACACAGGUAAAGCUAUCAAUCUUGCCUAUGCAAAUUUUCUAGAAUGGCAAAUAACCGAGUAUUCACUCCUAGUCCAAUGAUAUCUGGUGGAUUUGAGAGUGAUAUCUUUAUAGAUCUCACUUUGAAUCAGUGACCUAGUGAACAUAAAUUAAUAUUUUAGGAUAAUUCUUGGGGCUUGAGGACUCCGGGGGACUUAACAUAAGAUUUUAUUCAUAACAUAUGUGACGAGCUUUUUGCAUAUUCAACAACUUUCCUGAAAUUAUUUACAAGUAUCAUGAUUCAUCAACUCAUUAUUUUUUCUCUCCCCUAGUGUCUUUGAUGUUGAUGAUGAGACAAUUCCUCUUCAGUUUCGAAAUGGAUAUACAUUCUUGAAUCCUGAUGAGCAGGCAAUUGACUAGAGCUGGUUACUUGAUUUUUAUCUUAAUUAGGUUGCUAUACCUAAGCUUUGAGCUAAUAGAACUUACUAGUAUCACCGGUCAAUCAAAAGAUGAGCCUGCAGGCUGCAUGAUCUACAAUACAACUACAAUUAUAAUCUCGACUGUUCUGAUGGUUCAAAAUGUUCCUCUGUUUUGCGAUUUUGUCAGAUUUGUAUUUAACAUGCUAUUCUUGACUGUUAUUCUGAUGGAUAAAACAUUUGCAGGGAUCGAAUGGUGCUUUAGAACUUGCAUUUAACCAUUACAGGAACGAUCCUGAGAACUAUAGCGACGAUUUGAUUUCAACUACCUGUAAUUGUUUCAUUUUCAUGGAAUUUUCUGUGGGAAAUUUAUCCUUUCAGAGUAGAAGAUGACAGUUCUUUUACAAGACAGUCGCAGAGAAGAUGCACUUUUAGCAUGCAAAAAUUACAUUAUGCUUUGAAUUAAAUCACAACAAUUUACAUAUCAUCACAGCCCAAUAUAAUCUGAAGUUCAAACAUAAAAACUCUCCUUUUUUUUCUCAUGUGGGUCAUGGUACAAAUUUCUGCAAGUGUGAGUAGACUAGGGAUACCCAACUAUAACUGGUGGUCUGAGGCUUGGUCUCUUUUGUGGGUCGUGGUACAAAUUUCUCCAAUGUCCUACCUGCAGCUACAAGGCUUUCGUCCUUUUCCAAGCCAUUGGAAAGGCACUUUCUACUGAAGGCAGGGCCAUGCAGAACGUAGGAUUGACAGGCUUGACGUUUUGGUCGCCAAAUGUUAAACAUUUUUCGUGAUCCCAGAUGGGGAAGAGGCUAAGAGGCCCCUGGUUAGAAGUCCAUUUAUUAUUUUUCUUUUGUGUGCUUUUGAAUUGUGAUAAUUCAGGUAACAAAGCAAGACAUGGAAGAUACAUUUCAACCUCCAUUUAGAAGUUGUGUUCUUGAUGGUAAUGUUGCCAGUGUAAUGUGUUCCUACAAUCAGGUCAAUGGUAAGCCAACAUGUGCUGAUCCAAAUCUUCUUUCUGGGGUCAUUCGAGGCGAAUGGAAAUUGAAUGGAUACAUAGUUUCUGACUGUGAUUCAGUAUAUGAGUUCUUCAAUGGACAACACUAUACCAAAACACCAGAAGAAGCUGCAGCUACACAAUAUUGGCAGGUCUGGAUCUCAAUUGCUGGUGAUUCUUAGGCCAGCACACUGAAGUCUUGGUCCCACUAUGAUGAGUCGAAUAUUGACAAGGCUGUCUCAAAUAAUUUUGCUACUAUGAUGAGACUUGGUUUUUUUUUAUGGUGAUCCUACCAAGCAAAUCUAUGGAAAUCUUGGUCCAAAACAUGGUAUCCACUAUCAUAAGUACCAAUGACAAACAUGAACAUGAGAGCAGAUCCUUUGACGGGCUAUCCAGGCAGAACCUAUAGAUUUCAUACUGGAGAAACUGUUUAUUCAUCCAAGAGCUCCAAGCAUAGCCCAUCUGCAGUGAAUCACUUCAAGCUCACGGUUCUUGACAAAAGUUUCUGAGUCAGCACAGAGACCAACAAUAUCCCAUCCAUAGUCACCUGGGAACUCACUAGUCAAGUAAGACGGAAGCUCACUGGAGAAUGGACAUGGCCAUUGCCCAUGAGCUUAGGGGCAAAUGAGAAGAGCUUCACCGCCUUGCUAGUGGAAGUGGUGGGUGGAAAAGACAAGGGGUCCAAUGGGUAUUAAUAGAUAGUUGGUGAUGGAUUUCCUUAUCUCAGUGAAAUCUACGUUCAUGAUUCCAUAAGAGCGGUAUUUAAAUCUGUCACUUCAUUGGAAGAUGUAGAUUUUAUUUGUUUGUUCUUUUUAUCCGAUAUGAUAUUUUUUGGACCGCUAAAUUCUUAUAUUUAUUUAUUGUUCAUAUGGACGUUUCAUAUUUA